GCUCCAGUAGCUUAAACAAAAGCAUUGGUCUUGUAAACCAAAGAAUGAGGAAUAAAAUCUUCCUGAGGCU
rnacentral:tRNA from 1 species